CUUGCUCUUUGGGUGGCGAGUGGCGGACGGGUGAGUAAUGUCUGGGAAACUGCCCGAUGGAGGGGGAUAACUACUGGAAACGGUAGCUAAUACCGCAUAACGUCGCAAGACCAAAGUGGGGGACCUUCGGGCCUCACACCAUCGGAUGUGCCCAGAUGGGAUUAGCUAGUAGGUGGGGUAAUGGCUCACCUAGGCGACGAUCCCUAGCUGGUCUGAGAGGAUGACCAGCCACACUGGAACUGAGACACGGUCCAGACUCCUACGGGAGGCAGCAGUGGGGAAUAUUGCACAAUGGGCGCAAGCCUGAUGCAGCCAUGCCGCGUGUAUGAAGAAGGCCUUCGGGUUGUAAAGUACUUUCAGCGGGGAGGAAGGCGGUGAGGUUAAUAACCUCGCCGAUUGACGUUACCCGCAGAAGAAGCACCGGCUAACUCCGUGCCAGCAGCCGCGGUAAUACGGAGGGUGCAAGCGUUAAUCGGAAUUACUGGGCGUAAAGCGCACGCAGGCGGUCUGUUAAGUCAGAUGUGAAAUCCCCGGGCUUAACCUGGGAACUGCAUUUGAAACUGGCAGGCUUGAGUCUCGUAGAGGGGGGUAGAAUUCCAGGUGUAGCGGUGAAAUGCGUAGAGAUCUGGAGGAAUACCG
rnacentral:rRNA from 1 species